UGCCACGUUAUCUUAUCGUUAGCUUAUCAU
rnacentral:piRNA from 1 species